rnacentral:rRNA from 1 species
GCCUAUACAUGACAAGUCGAGCGGACCGACGGGAGCUUGCUCCCUUAGGUUCAGCGGCGGACGGGUGAGUAACACGUGGGUAACCUGCCUGUAAGACUGGGAUAACUCCGGGAAACCGGGGCUAAUACCGGAUGCUUGAUUGAACCGCAUGGUUCAAUCAUAAAAGGUGGCUUUUAGCUACCACUUGCAGAUGGACCCGCGGCGCAUUAGCUAGUUGGUGAGGUAACGGCUCACCAAGGCGACGAUGCGUAGCCGACCUGAGAGGGUGAUCGGCCACACUGGGACUGAGACACGGCCCAGACUCCUACGGGAGGCAGCAGUAGGGAAUCUUCCGCAAUGGACGAAAGUCUGACGGAGCAACGCCGCGUGAGUGAUGAAGGUUUUCGGAUCGUAAAACUCUGUUGUUAGGGAAGAACAAGUACCGUUCGAAUAGGGCGGNACCUUGACGGUACCUAACCAGAAAGCCACGGCUAACUACGUGCCAGCAGCCGCGGUAAUACGUAGGUGGCAAGCGUUGUCCGGAAUUAUUGGGCGUAAAGCGCGCGCAGGCGGUUUCUUAAGUCUGAUGUGAAAGCCCCCGGCUCAACCGGGGAGGGUCAUUGGAAACUGGGGAACUUGAGUGCANAAGAGGAGAGUGGAAUUCCACGUGUAGCGGUGAAAUGCGUAGAGAUGUGGAGGAACACCAGUGGCGAAGGCGACUCUCUGGUCUGUAACUGACGCUGAGGCGCGAAAGCGUGGGGAGCGAACAGGAUUAGAUACCCUGGUAGUCCACGCCGUAAACGAUGAGUGCUAAGUGUUAGAGGGUUUCC